UCGGAUGUAGUGCACGGCGCACACCCGCUCUUCGUAGAAAUAGAAUGACUGAAGCGGGAGGAAGUGGGUUCGACUCCCAGUGUCCGAA